ACACAGCCACGCGUGCGCCGUCGUCACGCGGACGGCUGUACGCCGUGCCAUGAAUGAGGGCGCGCCGUCGCCGUCGCCGUCGCAACGCAGCUGAGUGACGUCCUGGCAGAUAGAACAAACCAGGUGUGAGCACUGUCUUUCCAAAGUUACACUGAAGCCGUUGGAGGAAAGGUCGGACCUCAGGCCUUCCCGCGGCACCAACUACUGACGGCGGAUUUGCUCACGGAUCCUUCACAGCUGUUUCAAAGAACCAUUCUGUGAUUCUAUGAUCUUCCAGGACCCUUCCAACCCACACCAUCCUGUGGUUCUAUCAUCUUCCAGGACUCUUCCAACACAAGCCAUUCUAUGGUUCUGUGAUCACUAAGGAACCUCCCAAGCCACGCCGUCCUGCAGUUCUAUGAUCUUCCAGGACCCUCCUGUGCGGGUGAUGUCACAAUGAUGUGAUGACCUCACAGAGGCCCUGGGGUGGGGCAGGGGCAGUGGGUCAGCGCUGAACCUGCCUGCCUCAUUUUGCGGUUGGUUCUGGUCCAGCGAGGAGCUGUGCGAGUGGUGCAGCAAUGCGGGCCCAGUUUGCCAGCGGGACAUUAACAGAUCUGCAGCGUGUGAAUCUGCUGGAGGAGCUGCUGCAGGCUCAUGAGCGCGCCGUGGAGAAGCGCAAGGCUGAGGCCAGGGAAUCCUUGAUGAAGGAUGCCCAGCAAAUACGGGCAGAAAGAACAGCUGCCAGGAAGGAGGAUCUGGAGCAGGAGAAGCAGUUCAUUGCCCAGCUGGAAGAGCAGCUGCAGGCUGAGAGAAAGGAGAUCGAGGUGCUGCGCCAGGAAAGACAGCGCCUGCAAGAGGAGCGGGAGGAGCUGGAGCUGGAGGGUGCCUGGCAGCAGCAUCAGCUGGAGCUGGAGGCAGCCCACGUGCCUGGGGCUGUGCUGCCGGAGCUGGUGGAGGCAGAGCUGGAGAAGGCUGAGCGGCGAGGAGACGUGGGCUCGCCUUCUGGAUGAAGAUGAUCUGCCUCAUCUUUGUCAGCCUCCAGCUGCUGCUCGUUACUGUGUUGGGCUGUGCAGUGCUGUACGCCCAGCACUAUGACCAGGAGCUGUUGUAUCGGCUCCUGCUGCGAGUGCUGCCCCAGGCAAUGUACGCUUCCCUGGCGUACUUUGCGAGCAGGAGCCUGCGUGUGGUCUGUGAUGGGCUGCUGCCCAUCUGACCGCCCCUCUCAGUCCCCCUCCCAGCUCGGGGCUGUGCGGUGGGCGCGGGGAGAGGGCUCUGUCCCCACGGAAGGGGCCUCUCCUGUGCUCCUGCCCCCAGGGGCGCAGAGGCACAGCUGUGGGGCAGUGCCGGCAGGCGGCUGAGUGCCACCACUUUGGACUUACAAAUAAGUUGUACUGUCGUCGUGAGUCGUCAGCUGAACACCACCACCUCCGACGACCCAUCAGGCUGAAGAUCUGCACCUGACACCAGGACGUGGCUUCUUGGAUUCUUGAGUCUUCGUAGCAGCCAUUUCCUACAGCUGGUUACCUCGAAGGCUUAUGAAUUGUAAUUAGCCCAUUAGGCAAUGUUACCUCCAAUGGGCUGUUGUCAGUUGUUAAGAACGCUGUCAAUAAAUGGAUGUGU
rnacentral:lncRNA from 7 species